rnacentral:lncRNA from 1 species
UAAAUCUUAAUUUGUUCAAUAAUAUUAGCUCUUAUAAAAGUUCAACCAAUUAAGGCUACAGAAUUUGUUAUAUGUAAUAAUUUUCAGUAGUAAAGCGGAAUUUGACUCUCAAUUUCUUAGAUAUAUAUCAUCAUAUAUUCAUUUUAUACGAUCAUUCUUCUGCAUCAAGCAACUAUCAUCAUUUUAUUAUAAUUCCAUUUUUCUUCCCAUCCACCAGAUAACCAACAUCUCUUGAUUUAAACAAUUACUAACCUUUAAAAAAAAUUAAAAAAAUUGAUCUCUUUUGGGGCAUGCAUGCAUUUCUAAUUUUAUAUUCUGUUGCAUCAUUGCAUCCGCUUGUUUAUAAAACUACAGGAUCAGUGUUUACAAAAUGCAACCCAAUCAAGAUUACUUCUUCCAAAAUCUUGCAUGAUGGCGUGGAGAAAGUUUAAUAUAAUGGGCAUCAACUUAUUCAUGGGGUCUCAAACAUAUAUAACUUUAUUAAUAAUGCAUGGAUGGCAUAUUAUUUAAAUGACAGAAAACUAUCAAACUAUAAUUUUCAGAGCUUUAUAGACAGCUCUUACAUUCGUAAUUUAAUAAGCAAAUGCAAGCUCUGAAAAUUUGACGUUAGUAAUUUAAUAAUACAUCAUUAUAAAAUAGAAAUGAGAAUAAUGCAUAAGUCAGUAUAUAAUGUUGCAUAAACUGCUUGUAAUGAUUGAAAAAUAAUAUUUAAUUAAUUUAUAAAACAGGUGGUCUACUGUGAAACCGAUUUCACGGUGAAACCGGGUUUUGAAUUACACUACUUUAACAACAUAAUGUGUCAUUUGUAUGUUGAAGUAGUGUCAUUCGAAACCCAAGAGUUUUUGUGUUUAUAAAUUAAAUUUUUGUUCCCUCCAAAAUUUGAACAUCGGUAAAUUUUCGCACCCUCUAAGUAAACAUCAGCGGCUCAGCCAUAGAAUAUGAAAAUUCAACGUUACAGAUUUAUUCUCAUUUUUUACCAUAUUUGUCAAUUUCAUUUGACUCUCUCUCUCUCUNUAUAUAUCUAUAUAAUGUAUCUAAUAUAUAAUAUAUAUAUAUAGGGAGAGAUUCAAAUAAGAACCAUUAAUAAAAUAAGAACAUAGAACCAUUUUAAACCAUUCAAUCAUCAAGAUCUACGGUGGAUGCAUCAUCUUGGUGGAUGGAUGCAGAUGCUGGGUUCGAAUCCUGAAGGGAGCAAAAAAAAUUAUUUUGUUUUGAUGCAUUAAAUUUAAUAGCGGAUGCAUUAAUUUGUAUAGCAGAUGCAGUAAUUUUAUGGUUCUUAUGUUCUCACGAUAAUUGUGGUUCUCACGAUAACCCGUACCCCUAUAUAUAUAUAUAUAUAUAUAUAUAUAUAUAUAUAUAUAUAUAUAUAUGGUUGAGUUCUCAUUGAACCUUUCCCUUAGGUAGUAUAUAGAUCCAAAUCGGGACCAUUAAUUAAAAAAAAUGAAUUGAACACACGAAUGACACGUGGCGUUGACACUAAAAGAUGACAUUAUUAAAAAAACACGGAGUGACAAAACAAUCAUUUUUUUCGUUUCUUGCAAAAAUCAUACAUAUGACAAAAUAGAACACUGUAUUGCACAACAGAACUGAAAUUGUACCUAUCCAAUACACAUAUCUCGCAUCACACAAAGUUAGAACGUGCAAAGAUACAACAAUAGUAAUUGUGCUUUAAACAUAAAGAACAAGAACACUAAAGUUGAUUACCUAGUUCAGUGAUAAAACACCUACGUCUGGGGGCCACGCACAGAGUAAAUUAUCCACUAGUGACGAUAAGAUAUGCGAAGGACUUACACAUGAAGACUCGUUCUUCCUAGCCUCUAUAUCUUCGCAAAUCUCCAUCAACAUGAACAACUAAGAGCAAGACAACAACUCACCCUCUAAGUGUCAAUGUUACACAUUCACCACUUAAACUCAACAAAUAAACAUACACCAACAAGCUGUUGUAAGGAAUCAAACAAACAACUCCCAAUGCUUACAAAGGAAAAUAAGUGACAAACUAUAACACACUCACACGCAAUGCACGAAAAUACUUUCAAUAUGCAGUAGAGUAACAAUCAAAGUGGCAACAUAUUCAAGUCCUUUUCAUCGCAUAUAUAUGUCCAAGCUUGAAAAAAAUUCUCAAAGAUCACAUUUGCAGGCUGAUUGAAGUCUAUCUGAAGGUGCUGACCGAAUAUCACCAUCUCAAUCUGUAGAUUCGGUUCAUGUAUAUCCACAAGACAUGGAAUGGAUAACUCCAAGUCCAUCACAAAUGCUGCAAGUAAAGGGCUGCUAAAUGUCUCCAGUAUAAGUUAGAACAUUGAAAGAAACUGUUCUAACUUAAAAGAAGAACAUCCAGAGACACAUAUGUUGUCUACAUAAUGACAACAAAUAUAGAGUAUGAAAAAUACUCUAACAAGAACAAUGCAAUGAAAAAUACUCUAACAAGAACAAUGCAUAUUAUAAAACAAAACCAUGCACGACUAAUUGCAAGAAAAAAUAUUUGAAUCGAAUCAUGCAUUCAUAUAAACUGAAUUAUGCAUAUUGUGUCAAUAAACCCUGCAUAUUGUGUUAGUGAACCAUGCAUGUUGUAGGGUUUAUCGACACGAGAAGCAUGGUUCACUAACACAAUAUAAAAGGUUCAUUGACACAAUAUACAUGGUUCAAUUUUAUAAUAUGUAUUGUUUUAUUGUGUAAUAUGUCUAUCCAACGUUAUGCUUAUUUGUGUUUACCUUUAUGUAUAUUUAUGUUCAACUAUAUGCAUAACUAUGGCAGCAACAAGCAGAAGUGAGAGGCAUCAGAGAGGUCGUAUAGUAAUACUUUCACAUGCUGAUGAGGACUGAAAUAUGCACCAGCGAUGUGCACUAUAUAAUGAGAACAUUUCUAUUUAUGCUUAUGAUUAGUGUUAUUAUUAUUAAGCUAACCAGUGCAGGUUUAAUUGAAGAUUUGGGAUAGUAAAAGAAAUAAUAGAGCUUCCGGUGUAGUCAAGCAAGCAUAGGCGACUCAGACCAAGGUCAAUGUAUUAAAAGGGCUUAAGCCCAAUUAUCUUAGUAAAUGGGCUUGAGGCCCUAGGGCUUAUUUACAUGCUUAUAAAUAGAGACUUAGGGGUGGGUUAGAAGCGGAUCUCAUUUUUACUCAUUCAUCUCUUGUAAAAUAUAAUACUCUCUCAAUUAUAGUGGAAAAACCCCCGAAACCCCCGUGGACGUAGGUCUUCUCGACCGAACCACGUAAAUCCGUGUCGUUUAUUGCUUUCUAGAUUAGGUGUUGGUUUCUCGUUUCUAAAUAUAAUACAUGGUUCAAUUUUAUAAUAUGUAUUGUUUUAUUGUGUAAUAUGUCUAUCCAACGUUAUGAUUAUUUGUGUUUACCUUUAUGUAUAUUUAUGUUCAACUAUAUGCAUAACUAUGGCAGCAACAAGCAGCAAUGAGAGGCAUCAGAGAGGUCGUAUAGUAAUACUUUCACAUGCAUAUUUCUAUCCAACAUUUUGCAUAUUUAUUUUAAUGUUUAUUCAUAUUUGUGUUCAGUUAUAUGCAUAUUUUGACGGCGUUCGUGCCAAUAAAAUGAAUUUUUGACAAAUAAUAAUAAUAAUUUUUUUUCCAAAAAAUUUAUUCAUAUUCUACAUCUGUAUGUAUUUUGCCUUGAAAAUCCGUAAAAGGAAAUUUGCCAUGUGUCAUGCUCCUAGCACGCCACGUACCCACACUGUGUUAUUCAUAUUUUGAUACUUGUUUGCUAUGUUUAAUUUUAAAAGGUGAAGUCAACAUUGAAAAUUAGAUUAAACUUCGUUGUUUAAAUGACAAUUACUUCAAUGGAAGAACAACCCAACAUUUGUUAGGUUUUUUUUGGAUCUUAGCUAAUUCUUUAAUAUCAAUUUGCAUUGUAGAUUUAUUUUCUUGGCUUCCAAAUAUAUUUAAAAUUUAUUUUAGUAUUUCCUUUUUUUUUUACUAUUUUAUAACUUUAUAAUUAUGAAUUAGGGUUAAUUGCCUAUAAAUACACGAACUAUACCCGAAUUUUGGUUUUUGAUCAAACCUAUUUUUUUGGUCAAAAAAUACAUAAAUUUUUAUAUUUUUGAAAUUUGAUCUAAGCCGAAAGUUCGCCGGUUAAUAAAUUGAUUGUCUGAAUUUCGAUGGACAAUUCGAAGGUACUGUUGAAAAACUCUUAACAUUAUCUUUCUAAUGAUUCUUACAUUUUUGGGUUUUGAUAACCAAAAGUGGUAAAAAAAAUGGCAUGUAAGUUAAGGUCACGAAACUCUAUGAAAGUUUCACCAAUCCAAACACAUAUAAUCUUGCACACAUGCAGAAGUUAUAACAUGAAGAGAAACUGUGAUGCCCGGGGACAAAGUACGGAGUGAUCGCCGGUGCAAAGAGGCACGGACAAGGAGCGGCUCCGAUUAAGACUUUCAAGUGGAGGGCCGCAGGCAUGAAUCGGAACACACCCGAACGAGAAGGAUUCCGAGAAUAUGCAGGUAUGGGAUUGCAUAUUCGAGGAGAGCUUAAAUGAUUUGAUAGGUGCUACUCAUAUCAACAAGAUGCAUCUUCUUUUUUGGUGCCCACGUGGAAGAAACUCUAAGGUUAAGCGUGUUUGACUUGGAGUAAUUUCAUGAUGGGUGACCCCUGGGAAGUUUCUCGGGGACCCAGAAUUUAUAACUCACAGAGAGACAUAAACAGAAACUCGUGCAGAAAUAUGAAGAACACAAGAACACCAAAGUUGGUUACCUAGUUCGGUGAUAAAACACCUACGUCUGGGGGGCCACGCCAAGUUCAAACAGUUCACUAGUGUUGAUAAGAUAUACAAAUGACUUACACGCGAAGACUCGAUCUUCUUACCCUCUAUAUCUUCCCAAACCGUCACCUACGUGAACAACGGAAAGCAAGAUGAGAACUUACUCCCUAAGCGUGAUUGCUACUCAAUCCACGCUCAACACCAAUGAAUUAUAUCACUCCAACAGGCUGAAGUAAUAUUCAAGAACAGAAAACAAACUCACGCUUACAAAGAGACAAAGCAUAAAUCAAUAGCACACCCUCACAAACUGUAUGAUCUCCUAUAUGCACGAAAAUACUCUCACAAAUAAUAAGAGUAACAAAUAAACGCAGCAGCAGCAUGAUCCUCUUCGUCUUCAAUAUAUGUAUAUGUAAACCCUAGAAAGAUAUGGGCUCUUGGCGGGCUCUAGGUGGCCGCCCAUAAUAGGGUUCACUAAAACCCUAAGUAGAAGAAAUCUCAUGCAAACUGGAGAUCCAAUAGAUAGAUAUAUAUAUAUAUAUAUAUAUAUAUAUAUAUAUAUAUAUAGUACGUAGUAGUAGAGACUAUAGUAUACUAUACUAUACUAUACUNNNNNNNNNNNNNNNNNNNNNNNNNNNNNNNNNNNNNNNNNNNNNNNNNNNNNNNNNNNNNNNNNNNNNNNNNNNNNNNNNNNNNNNNNNNNNNNNNNNNNNNNNNNNNNNNNNNNNNNNNNNNNNNNNNNNNNNNNNNNNNNNNNNNNNNNNNNNNNNNNNNNNNNNNNNNNNNNNNNNNNNNNNNNNNNNNNNNNNNNNNNNNNNNNNNNNNNNNNNNNNNNNNNNNNNNNNNNNNNNNNNNNNNNNNNNNNNNNNNNNNNNNNNNNNNNNNNNNNNNNNNNNNNNNNNNNNNNNNNNNNNNNNNNNNNNNNGACUACUACUAAUAUAUAUAUAUAUAUAUAUAUAUAUAUACACAACUCAUACUAUUUUUUAUUUUUUUCUUUAUAUAUACUUUUUACUUUUACCCUACACUUGUUUUUUUUUUUGUGUCAUUAUUUUCAAUUGUUCUUACUAUUUAUGUGUUUUGAAAUUUGUUGUUUUUUUAUUGUUCUUUUAUUUGCAAGACUACUUUUGUUGAUUUUUAAGGUUUUUUGUUGUUGAUUUUUAAGGUUGAGUUCGUAUAUUUUCACAAAUAGCAACAGUUCAAAACCAUAUUAUAAGAUUCAAUAAAAUGUCAAAUAAGUUAUUUAUGAGCUUUAAAUUAUAUAUGAUUUUCUUUUAUUUAUAUGUUCAAUGUUUUUAAUGUUAAUUUCUUACGUUUUUCAUAAGUCACUUGUGUGUUUCAUACGUAAAUAGUAUAAGAGGUGUUCUUUCUUUUUCUUUUUAAAGAAAAAGAAUAUUCAUUACUAAUUAGUUUUCAAGUUAUUUUUGGUCGAUUGAUCAUGUUUUACAACUUAAUUACAACUUGGGGCGUUUAUUUUUAUUUUAUUUUUAUAUGAAGGAGUCGGAUCUUUGUUCUUUUUGUUAACGUUUUGAGUAGUGUAUCGGUCGGACCUACGAAUUUGUUUUAAAUAUGUGGACAAUAUAUAGAGAAAAUAAUAUUUUGGAUUUUUCCUCUUUCGAUAUAACCCAAUUUUGACUUAUUCCACGUAAACCGAGACGCUGCACCCAACUUAUGUGAAAAUUGAAAUAGUCAUCAUCGCAUCUUGCAUUUUAUAAUUAUUUGAAAACCGAAUAAUUCUCAUAACCGACAAUAUCAAGGGUAACAAAACUCAUACCAAAUUGUCUCGGUUUGAAUUCUCAAAAUACUCUCGUUUGCAAUAUUUAUUGUUUAAUUAUUUAUACACAUAUUGUGAUUCGUAUGCUUGUAGUAAUAAUUAGUGUCACAGAUAAUUUACAACCAAAACCAGAAACGAAACACUGAGACCUUCAACAAAACGUAUAAAAGAAUAAAAUCUAUUUAUUGAAGCCAUAUAUGUAUUUAAUAGUGAACUUUUACAGUUGUUUGCAUUUACUAAAAGUAAGUAGCUUUCAACAGGAAAAAGGGGUAUUUUUUUUUUUUUUUUUUUUUAAUUUUUUGGCGCGAGGAAAAAGAAAUGAAUCUUACAACUGUAAGCGAACUAAUUUGGAUUCGGUGGUUAGAAACUAUUGCCAAAUUGGACCCAACUCUGUCUCUAAUGCUAUGUUGCCCCCUCACCCUUUCAUGCGUUAUACUCUAAUCUCACCGACACCCACGUUUCUCUUUUUUUAAUUUUUUCCACUUUCUCUCUUUUUAUUUACGUAGAGGUGGGGAUGCCAAUUGGAACAAUCGAUUUGAUUUCAAGUCAGACCUAUUUAUGCUUGGUUCAAUUUGAUUCACUUUUUAAAUUAAGUCGGAAUUGUUUUUGGAGUUGAAAAUAUUAAUCUCGAACUUUUUUCAUUUAUUUAUUUAGGGGAUGUAUACUUUUUAUGAUUGAUAAGAUAUAUGUUAUUUAGGGAAUAUACUUUACAUGAUUGAUUAAAUAUAUGAUUGGUAUUUUUAUUUUCAAGAGUAAGAUUUCUCUAAUUCCACAUUUUCAAUGAAAUAAGAAUCAAUUAAAAUUAAUUUAAAUGAAAUAAGAGAUUAGUCUUACUAUUUUUAUCUAUUAAUGUUAAUCCUUCAAAGUGAACGUCUCAUUAUGGAUUGAUCCGUUGAUUUUGAACCCUAAUCAGUUUUUCUCAAAAAGGGUAAAAUACGUAAUAAUAAUGAUGAUGAUAAAUAUUUAAAGGUAUUGUGAUAUAUGCGACAAUUUUACCUUUUUCCCUUUGUUGCAGCAACCCUACCUGGUUUAAUGUAUUUUGCUGUUUGAUUUUUUUUUCGUCCAUUUUUGUAGGAGUUUCAUGUUUUUAUAAAAGUCGAAAUGAAUGUUCUUUUAUCUUGUGCUUUUUCUUUUUUGUUUUUACACAUGUUACUUUACAUGUUUGACUAUAUCUAUUAUAUAAUAGGAUUAAGCCUUAAUCUAUGUGGCAUAUCUAAAAUCUCACCAUUUCAAAAUUUACCAUAUAUAAUUUGCAUCAUUUAUUAAUUAAUUAACUAUUACAUUCUAUAUAAAGAUUCAUUAAUCAUAAUAAAUAUAAUUAAUAAUAUAUAUAUAUAUAUAAUAUUAACAUUACAUAUAAUCUAAAUUAAUAAAUUUUAUUAUUUUUUUCUAGAUAAAAUUAGAUUUACAUGUUGAUAAGAAAAAAAUUAUAAUCUAUAUACGAUAAAUUAUUUUAAUUGAAUGUUAGUGAUUAGAUGUAUAUUUGUUAUUAAUUUUAUAUUUUCAAUAGCGUACAUAUUAUAUUAUAUGUUGCAAUAUAUUAUAUUUAUGAAUAUAAUAUAUAUAUACAUAUAUAAUAUUUAUAUUCUUAAUUUUCAAUAAAAAAUUUUAAAUUAAGUUGAAUUGAGAAUGCACGUAUAUGUAAAUUAUAAACGGGUCCGUCAUUGAUUUACAUGUUUGCAUAAUAAGGCACAAAUUCUAUAAAACUGAUUACUUUAAAAAAAUCUUAUUUUAUGUCUAUCAAAAUAAUUAAAAUUUUAUUUUUAUUUUUAUAAAAUAAAUCCAUACAUUUUAUUUAUAUAGGGAAGAAAAAUAUAUUUUUCAUUUCUGCAAACUUUAUUUGUUUCUGUUCGUCCAUUACUAAAUAAUAAUAAUAAUAAUAAUAAUAAUAAUAAUAAUAAUAAUAAUAAUAAUAAUAAUAAUAAUAAUAAUAAUAAUAAUAAUAAUAAUAAUAAUAUAAUACGAUUAGGCCUUAGCCUACGUGGCAGGCCUCAAAUUCUUCUUUUCAAUCUCAAUCUCCAACAAGGCAUUUGAGAAUCCAAUCUAUAUAUUCUCAUUCUCACUUUUAAACAAAAAUCACGCCUCCCUCUUCCUCACCCCAUCGCCGCCGUCCCUGAAUCCGGUCGGCGUCGUCUCCCCAUUCACUGUCUCUCUCUUCUCUCAAUCCUUUUCUCUCUCUAAAGUCGAUUGCACACUCAAAUCGAGCCCUAAUUCCCCCCUUAAACUGCCCGCCUCUCUCUCCCUCUAAAUUCAGGCGUCGCCGCCGUCCUAAGGGCGGCGUUGCUCCGCCUCAUCUCUGACUCCCUCUUCCAUUCCUUAAUUAGUUCGAUUUUGUUUCCACUUCUUAAACCCAUGAGAAUUCUCCAUUCGAAGCAAUUAAUACAAGAGCCCUAAGAUUUCUUUUUCCUAUAACCCGUUGUCGUUCCUUCUUCUAGACUCCGGCGAAAUAGUCGCCGCUGAGCUUGCGGUUCGUCCGCCGCCGAGUCACCGCUGAGCCCUGGAGUUCGUCCACCGUGCCGUCGACCCCCACCCCACCGACGACUUCUCUGUUUUGAUACCUCCAUUUCCUGAUCUGCCGUGAUUCUUCCUACACACCUAUGGUAAGUAUUAAAUUAGUUUCCUAAUUUAAUAACAUGUUUCACUAUUUUAAAUAUAGAAUGAUUAUUAUUUUAGAAAGAACAAAUUUUGGAAAGAAUUUUGGCAUCUGCUAUCAAGCGUGUUGUGAUUGUUGCAUGGAAGCAAUAUGAUUUAUCAACUCUGAUGAGGGGUGAAAUAUGCAAGGUCCUAAGAUCAGGACACGUGGCUUUGCUUGGAAUACCAAAGAUGAGCAGCAGGGAGCAAAGAAGCUGUGAGAAAUAGGCAGAGGGAAAAGUCCAGAGCAGAGCUAACCAGAGCAGAGUUGGCAGAGCAAAGCUUCCAGAACAGAGCUGCCAGAGCAGAGUUGCCAGAGCAGAGCUUCCAGAGCCAGAGCUAACCAGAGCAGAGCUUCCAGAGCAGAGGGCCAGAGUCAGAGCUGCUAACAGAGCAGAGAUGCCAGAGCAGAGAUGCCAGAGCAGAGCUCAGAGCCAGAGCCAGAGCUAACCAGAGCAGAGAUGCCAGAGCCAAGCUUACCAGAGCAGAGCUGCCAGAGCCAGAGCAGUAGACCAGAGCAGAGGCCAGAGCAGUUGCCAGAGCAGAGCUGCCAGAGCUAAGUCAUUAAAGUAGAGCCAGAGCCAAGUCGCCAGAUCCAGAGUCAGAGCUAAGUCGUUAGAGUCAGAGCCAGAGCCAAAUCGCCAGAUCCAGAGUCAGAGCUAAGCUAUUGGAGCCAGAGCGUGGAGCCACAGCCAGAGACAAUUCGCCAGAAGGCGGAGCUACUUAGCAGAGCGGAGCCAAAGAGUAGAAGUCUGCCCCAAGGAAGGAAAUCAGAGCUACUAGACAGAGCGGGAUGAUGAGGACAGAAUCCAGCUCUGUAAUUAGGGGACAACGACCUGACAAGUUAUAAUCUAAUAAUAGCCUUAAUUAGUUUAAUGGCGAGCAUGCGGAAUAGAUGACCAAACGAAUUUACUACUUUACCCGACUGUAAUGCCUAUAAAUACCUACGAUGAUGAAAUAAAGCACACGCUCUCUCUUUUACUGCUUUAAGAACUCUUCUCUUUCCUUUCUCUCUAGAGUUUGAACUAAUAAAAUUACAUAUAUAAAUAAAAUAUCUAAAUUGUUAGAGUUAUGUUUGUUAGAUAGUUGACAAUUGGAGUCAUGGUUGAAUAUAAUUUCAUAUUUGAUGAUGCUCUCUCAAACUCUAGAUGAGAUGAUGCUCAAAACUCCAGACGAGAUGAUGCUCUUUAAGUUUUAGACGAGAUGAUUCUCUUUCAAGUUUCAGACAAGAUGAUGCUCAGAAGUUAGAGGUGAUCUGUCAAGUUUGCGACGAGUGAUGCCCACAACUUGGUUGGUCUUAAAACUCCAAAUGAUACGUGUUCGAUAAAUCAGUUAUGGUCUUUUAAUAUCAGCGAGAUUAUUUUCAUAAUUAGUUAUGCUUUUAGAAGUUCGAAUUAUAUGAUACUCACAAUCAAUUAUGAUUUUUCAAACUCCAUAUAAAAUUAUGGUCAAAAGGCAAAAAAAAAAAAAUUGAACAAAAUUAAUAAAUCUUGUAACAACAAAUGCAACAAAUCAAUCCUCCAUCAUACCUAUGUCAAAUUUAUAUGUAUUUCUACUCUCUUUUUUUUCUUACGCGUCAACUUUUUAUAAAAUUUCAUAUGAAAACUAAUGGUAUUUUUAUGAUCUCAACAAAAUUAAUAAUUUAAUUCUAAAAGUUGUUGAGAUUAAUAUAAUUUAAAAUGUAUUACUAAUUUAAUUUAAUUUAAUUAAUUAUAUAAAUAAUUUACAUAAAAAAUUAUUUUAUAUAAUUAUCAUAAGAAUAACAUAAAAUAUAUAAAUUACAAGAAAAUAUGUACCCGUCGAAUUUCGACGGGUAAUACACUAGUAUAUAUAUAUAUAUCAAUUACUAAUUGCUAUACGUUACUAGUUGGGAUCACUGCAAAUAGAGAAUUAAGCGUGUUUGAUUUCUUGGUUAAGGGUAGUUUGUAUAGCAAAUUGGUGAUUUUUUGGUGUUUGAUAUGUAAUUUAAGAAUAGCUGGAGGCCCGGACUUAGCGCAUGGCCCGCGCCUAUUUCACUGUUUAACUAAGGAAAUGGGUGAGGGGGUGGGCUCCGGUUAGUGUAGCUGGAGUGGCAAGUUUAUUUUUCUUUCCCAAAAUUGCCCCAAUUCAUCUCUCUCUCUCUCUCCUCUUCGUUCUUCCUCAUCUCUCUUCUCUCUCGCUCUCGAUCUCUCUCUGCAACAUGAAUCUCUCCUCAUUCUCUCUCACCUUUCUCAUGAAAUCCGGCAAGCUCUCUCGUCGCCGAGGAUCGCCGUCAACAGCCAACCCCUCAUUUUCUCGUCUCCCUCCUUCUCUUCUCCCUCUCGCCCCUCCCCAUUCUCUCUCUCUUCGCCGUGAACUGAUGCGGCCACGCUGCACAUGCAGCGCCGGCCGCUGCUGCCACCAUUCUCCAGCCCCGACUCCACUCCUUCCUCUACCCUGACCUUCAAUUUGUUAGUCCUCCAGAAUUCCCCAAUUUCAGGAACCCUCAUCCCUAAAUUUCACGGCCGCUUUCUUCUCCGAUGCGCAGCAGCUCGACGUGAAUUCGCGUCGCCGUCUCUCUGUCACCGUACGAUUAGCAGAGGUCUUUCGACCUCUACCGGCCGCACCUCCCUCUCUUUCUCUCGCUGAACUGCCAGCGGUCAACAAGACCGCCGUCGCCUGUGUGAUUCUCACCGUCAACAGCCCCAUCUCCCUCUCUAUUCCAACCGUGAACAGCGAGAAUGGCCGCCCCCCCUUCUCCUUCGGUCGGACAGCAGUAGAAGAUCACGAGAUGGAGGCAGCCAGAAACCUCUAUCCUCAUCAAUAUGCCAUCUUCAAAUAUUGAGGAUCAAGAAUGGGAUUCUAGCCAGAUAGAUGUUCCCUUGAGCCUAGGAUGCAACGAAGAUGUGUAUACGGCAGACAUGCCUUUGCAGAAUACCGAAUUAAUGAAUUUUGAUAGAUACACCUUGUUGUGUGCAUUGAUGGAAAGGCAAUAAGCUCAAAUUCCCCCACCUGGGUUCUGCUCAAAUUGGAACUUUUUAUCUGGGCUUUCAUUUUCUGGAGAUUCAUGAAGUGAGUUCUGCGAUUUGGAGGGAAUAAACCCCCAAUUUUUUUCUGCAAUAAUGUUGGGGGUAUAUUCGACUAUUUAUUUUAUAAUAACGAUUCACUCAUGCUCUAUCAAACGCAUAAACCGUGGUACACGAUUUUAACAUAUCCUAUCAAACACAAUUCUAAUAUACCGUAACACGCCAGCCGCCCUUCUCCUUUCCUUGAGUUGGCGUAAAUUGCCAUAACAUGACUAAUAAAUCAAACACGGCCUUAAGAUUACGAGGGCGCUUGACAAUGUAAUUUCUAGAUGUGGGGUUUUUUUUUUUCCUUCUUCUUGUUUCUGAUUUUGUCUGUAUUAACGAACAAUUUAAAAUAUCUUGAUUUGACAUGGAAAAAAAUUCACAUGUAUGUCCCAUUAUAUAAUUCGUUAUGCGUGAUACAUUUAAAAUAUCUCGGUUUGACAUGGAAAAAAUUUACAUGUAUAUAUUAAUUUGUUAUGGCGAACCAAUUACGCAACCGAGUUUCAAAUAAUUUGGUGCAUGGCAAAGACGGGUAAUGACUACUGUCUUAAUUUAAAAUUAGGAAUUAUAGCUAAUUUGGUGGGGGUGGGGGUGGGGGUGGGGGUGGGAGUGGGGGGUCGAUAAAAAUAAAAUAGGGCAAUGAAAAAUAUUAGUAUGAACUAUGAUAGUCAAGAGCAAUGACUUUGGUUUCCGAAAAAAUGAUGACAUGACUGUUCAUGAUUAUUCUCUCUCUCUUUUUCUUUUUCAUGAAUUCAUUUGUAUAAGUUUCUCGCAUUCACCCCAUGGAGUUCUUUUACUUUUCUUUCUUCCUUCAUUUAGUAUAUGCAAACUGUGAGGGUAGGUUUGCUUAAAAGAAAAUUAAUAUUAAUAAAAAAUGUUAUUUUUAAAGAAAUGAUUAUCUAGAAAAUAAAUUUUUACUAAAUAGUAUUUCAUUUUGUGUUUGAAAAUAGCAAAAAAAAAGUUGUUAGAAUUUGUAUUAAUUGAAUAUAAUUCCAAUAGGUGUAAUAUUUAAACGUGCUAACUGUUUAUAAACUACUAAAUUUAAAAAAAAAAUACUCAUUUUGCACAUCAAUUUUAAAAUUUAUAUUAAAUUAUUAAUAUUUUUUCAAUUUACUAUCUCGCUCAUUUCUCGACCAAAUUUAGUGUUUAAGUACUUGUCUGAAGAUGUCCCCAAGGGGACAUCAAGCGGUGUGACCUCCUGUGUGUGAACAGUGAGAUUUCGAGUUCAAACUCCACUACUUCCCCUCCCCUACUUCCCCAAGUCAAAAAAAAAGGUACUUGUCUGAAGAUGAAAAGUAUGAAAGAUAUAUGAACUAGAUUAUGAUAUAUUUGAUAUAUUCUAAUAAGCUUUAAUUAAUUAGUAAAUAGUUUGACUAUUGGAUUAAUUAAUUGGAGACAAAAGAAAAGCCCAGCCUGUUUAACCUAGGGUUACAGGCGUGUAUUAAUCCUAUAAGAAUAGGAUUAUAUUUCUUUUGUCAGAUACACAUGAGAGACAUGAAAACACAAGAGAGAAAACACUUAAGAGCACUAUAGAAUUCAAUCGGAGAUUUCACACAUGAGAGACGUGAAAACACAAGAUAGAAAACACUUAAGAGCACUAUAGAAUUCAAUCGAAGAUUUUCUAGCUUUCGAAGAUUGAAUUGUGCAUCAUGAAUUGUUCCUGCAUCGAAUCUGAAAUAUACGUGGAUACCAUAGUAGUGGAUUCAACUACAGGAAUUGCUAGAAGAAUUUCUACAAGAUUGUUUGCUACACAAUAAGUAAGUUAUUCUAACUGUUGUUGUGUGUUUGUAAUCUCUACACAUGAAUCAAUUGUAAAUCUAGAUCUUAUCCUUAAUUGUAUUUUCCGCUGCGUAUCAUUAGAAGAUGUCAAAGAUUUCCAAUAAUAGUAUCAGAGUCCAUGACUCGAUUUAUAAUUGAUAUUGUGUUCUAAUUAAUUAUGGGUUAAUUAAAUUUUGAUUUUUGAAAUCAGUUUUCGGAAUUUAAUUUUAGAAAUAAAAAAUUUGGAAUUGGAGAUUUUGAAAUAUGUUUUGAAAUUGUGUGAUUGUUGUCGGGACUUUCGCCUGAUCCAAGCCGACCACCUCUUGGACGAAGUGGCGACGGGUUGCUCGAGGCUCGCCGGCGUGCAGCGCCCGACCACCUGCCGCCGGUUGCGUCGUGGCUUCCAGCCGGCGCGCCGCUGCAUCUCUGUAGGCAGUCCCGCCAUCUCGAGCUUGGAGUCCGGGUGGGAGGCAACGGGGAGGUGGCGGUGUUGGUGGCGAGACCGCGUGGCUUGCUCCGGCGCAAGAGGCGUGGCAUAGGCAGUGGUCUCGCGCGGCGGACCUGCUCUGUCGCGACAAGAACACUGCUGCUUCAUCCUCUGAAAACGCCUCCCUUCGACACGGUCUUGGACGCCAAUGCGUCGAUGGCUGGCGGUAGCCGUUCGGCAAGGCCGCACGCCGGUGACGUCACGUUCCUUCUCCGGCGGGCUCCGAGCGUGGCGGCGACGGGUUGACGGGAAAGCGGCGAAUGUUGCUGAGAAGGGCAGUAAACCCUAGCUGCAGAACCGGGUCUGGGCCGUGGGUUUCUUGGGCCCUGGGCUGAGCCUGGUUCUUUUGCUGGGCUGCUACUGUUUUCUUCGGGCUAGGCUUGCGAAUUUUAAUUAAAUGCCCAAUUGGGCUGUAACUGUUUAUUAAAAAAAAUGUUAUAUUAAUUUUGGAAUUAAUAAUAUUAAUCCCAAUUUCAGAAAUACAUUUAUUAAUUAGAUUACUAAAUGUUAAUUAUUAUUAUUAUUUUAGAAAUAAUAGUAUUUGUUGUAUGUUUAUAUUAAUUUGGAACUAAUAUAAAUAAAUUAGAUUAAUGAAUUUUUAUUUAGUAUUAUUGUUUUUGAAAUAAUAAUGUUGAAUGUAUAUUUAUAUUAAUUUGGAAUUGAUAUAAAUUGACUAAUUCAUUAAUUUGAUUUAUAAAUCAUGAAUUAUUAUUAUUAUUGAAAUAAUAAUAUUUGAUGAGUUUUUAUAUUAAUUUUGAAUUAAUAUAUGGAAUUAUUAUUUUGAAAUAAUAAUGUUGUAUUAAUUUUGAAUUAAUACGAAUUGAUUAACCCAUAAUUUAACUAGAGAAUAAAAUUUUAGUUGGAUUAAUGAAUUUUAUUCGUAGAGAUUCUAUGUUGUUUUGUGAUAAGCAUGCUAUUUGAUUUUAUGCUUAUUAUUUAACUAUAGUAGUUAGAGACCGCUCUUAUGCUUGGGUAGGCGGUGCCCACUAUAUGUAGUCCGCGUUACUAUGUAUGGAUAGGCGGCACCCAAUAUGUGUGGUUCGCAAUUCGUAUGCCCUGGGUAGGCGGCACACAGUAAUUAUUUUUGCUAUUUAAUAUUGGAUAUUAAAUAUAAGCAAUUAGUAUCACAUGCUAAAUCCCAAUUAAAUAUAAGUCUUUGUGUAAGCACAAUACGCGUCGUCCAUCAUAAUUGUUUGAGCAACCCAUCCUUUUCGAUCAAGGGUAUUUACAUAAAAUUGUAUGCUCUAAUCUACAAGGCGAAGGCUCAUUCAUAGGUUGACACCGUGUGAUGAGGUUGACUUGUUGAAAUUAUUUUGGAACGCAAAGCGAGCAAGAAUGAUUUAAGGACGCAGAUUAAUUAGAUUAAUCAACCAAGAUUUGCAAAAUUGUUGUUGCAAUUGGCUUAGAGUCCUACUAAGUGAUAUUAUUGUAGUCAUUAGCAAAGUAGAGACUGCAUAAUAUUGACUUGGAUCUUGGACCACUAAGAUAUAUAUUGAUUAUAAAUCCGUAUUUUAUGUUGGGGGCAUAAGAUAUGUUAAAAUUAGUGGGAGCUAAUCAAAACAAAAAUGCCUUGUUUGAUUAGUAAAAUAAAUGUGAUCUUAUUUGAUUAGAAUUCUUUUAUUGCUUUCUUUUAUCUCUGUUAUAUCUGCAAUUGUUUUGAUAUGUUUGUUGGAUACGAAGAAUUGACUGGGUCAAACUUUCUGGAUUGACCACGCAAUUUGCGUUUGGUGCUAAGGCUAGAUAGGAUUGAAUAUGUCUUGGACAAAUCAAUCUACAUCAUCCUUAAUGCGACUUUAGAAACUUUCAACGUGUUUGACAAUGAAAUUUAUAAGAAACAUAUGGAUGAUGUAACUUCUGCUAAAUGUAUCACGUUUGUGUCUAUGAGUUUGGAACUGCAUAAACAACAUGAUUACAUGUUUCGAUUGAGAUGUUGAUACACCUGAAGAGUGUUAAUGUUUUGAAGCUAAGACCAUAAAGUAUAAUAUACUCAUGGAUCUCUUUAGGAUUAAUCUACAUGGAGUAGACAAGGUCUCUAUGAAUGUCUUGAAAAAGAUUGAGUUAAUUGAGAGGUUGGCCACGAUUGGAACGAGACUAUCCGAUAUUUGUCUCAAUCAACUUAAUCUUGCAGUAAUGAUCUGUCUCAUUUGAGAACUUUACAGUGAAUUCAAAAUUAACAAUAGGACAGUGACACUGCCGGAGUGUAGUAACAUGUUAAGAACGAUUUUGAAUCGUCUUCCACUAAUAACAAAUAAGUUCUUAUGAUUAAUGCUUCUGCCAAUUCUGACCCAACAGGAAAGAAAAGGUAGAAGAAUAAUCAUAGAACUAAAUUUUACAUCCUAAGGUGGAAACCAAAAGAAGCAGAAGUUACCCAAAGAUGAAAUGCCCUUUUGUCAAGAAAAGGACACUGGAAGGGAUACUACUUGAUGUUCAAAACAUUGGAUGUUUCGAUAGCAGGAUUUGGUAUGUUUGUCAUUGAGGUGAACAUGCCUACUAACAACUCAACUCAUACUCCUAGGUAUUAGAUACAAGUUAUGGUUCACACAUUUUAACAAAUGUGUGUUACCUAACUAAAAACAAGAGAGUGAGACCGAGGAAAUUGACUUACACAUUUGUUUUGAGCAAUUGUUGCUGCUGAAUGCAUAAAAUCAUAUAGAUUCGAUCUACCUUUGGUUUUUGGACAUGUUACAUUGUUAUUUUGUUCUUGGAAUUAUAAGGAAUAUAAUUUCCAUUCUCGUGUUAGACAUUUAAGUUUUUUUUUUCCAUUUUGCGAAUAGAAUUUAUUCUACUUUGCUUAAUGGAGAUGAAAAUAUUUCACUUGAGAAUGCUUUAUAUUUGCUCAAUGUGAACAAAACAUCCUCAAUGUGUAAAAUAAACUAUCACAAGCAAUGCGAAUAGUCCGACUUAACUUUGGCAUGUAGGCUUGGUUACUUAAUGAGAAAUGAUUAGCAAGAUCGAGAAAGUUAGACUAUCUCACACUUUUGACGUAAAGUUUUAAAGUGCUUGUGAAAUCACAUCUCAAGGUUAAAUGACCAACGAGCCAUUUUCUAGGAACGAAAUACGAGCUAAAGAAGUACUUGAGUUGAUUCACAUAGUGGUGUGUGGAUCGUUUCUAACUCAAGCACAAAGUGGAUAUUCGUACUUCACAACUUUCACAGACGAUUUCUUAAGGUAUGAAAAUGUGUAUCUUAUAAAACACAAAUCNCAUAGUGAUAUGUGGACCGUUUCCAACUCAAGCACAAAGUGGAUUUUCGUACUUCACAACUUUCACAGACGAUUUCUUAAGGUGUGGAAAUGUGUAAUCUUAUGAAACACAAAUUAGAAACUUUGAGAAAUCUAUAGAGUUUAAGUUAGAAGUCAAGAAACAACUUGAAAAAGCAUUUAAUCUCUACGAUUAGAUCGAGAAAUAAAUACUUAAGCCAUGUGUUCGCCGAUUGCUUGAAGUCAUAUGGAAUCCAUCCACAAUGGACUCCUCUAGGGAUACCUCAUUUGAGUUUGACAUCCAAAAGGAGAAUCGAACUUCAUUAGAUAUAGUUCGAUCCAUAAUGAGCUUUGUAAAACUUCUGGUGUAUCUUUGGGACCAUGCCUUGUUUAUUAUUGCUUAUAUUCUGAACCAAGUUCCACUUGAAUUAGUUGAGUAAAUAUCAUAUGAAUGUGGUAUUGAAAGAAGCAUAGUUUUACACAUGUGUGAACCUUGGGUUACACUACAUAUGUAGAGAAAAUGCUCACUGAUUAGUUGGAAUCAAAAGUGAGAAGUGUUACUUUGUGGGACAUCCGAAGAAAACACGAGAAUACUAUUAUUUUCUUGGAAAAUAUAAGUUCUCAGUUUUAGGAUUGCGAUGUUUCUUGAAAAGACUUGGUCUAUAGGGAACAAGAUCGUUAUGACUUAGAUCUUAAUAAGAUUUGAGAGCCACAAAGUCAACAUGAGGAAGAAAACUUGUUAGAUGGUCUAAACAAGGAUUUAGUGGGAGCUGUUCAUGAUCUCAUUGUUAUUGAUGCACUACUUAGAGCGUCAUCUACAUCCAAUAAGACCAGUAUUGAAGAUUUUGCAGAAAUACAAGAUUCUUCAAUAUGGGGGGAGAUAUGACAUUGGAUGUCGAAGAUUCUUCAUCAUGAUAUAGCGGAUCAACUUCCUCAAAUUCAGAAUAAUGAAGAGUCUGCACAAAUGCAACGUCGUAUAAGUUCUAGAGAACGUAAACCAGUCAAAGAAUUAAUCUAUUGGUCUAAGAUCAAUACGAGAAAGAAUUUAAAACUGGUAAUGAUCUUAGGAUUUAUGCGAAACUAUGAUAGUCAUAGAUUCUUAGAAGUGGCAAGAAGCCAUAAAAUCUGAAUGGACCGGUUAGACCAUAAAUAAGAUAUCAUUUGGGGUAAUACCUAAUUGAUGCUAAUGAUAAUGUGCAAACCUGCAAGGCAAGGUUAGUGGCAAAAGAUUAUAGUCAGUGCGAGAGCAUUGAUUAUGAUGAAUCUUUUCGCCAAUUGCAAAAGUCAAGUCCAUUGAGAUUUUACUUGUUGUUAUGAACUAAACAGGCUUCUAGAAUAUGGAACAAAUGUUUUGAACAAAGAAAUCAAAUCGUUUGAUUUUGGUCAAAAGUGAAGAAAGUCAUUGUGUUUAUAGGAAACACAAGAAUGAGAACUCAAUUUUCAUCAUCAUUUAUGUAUGACAUAUUGAAAAUGAAAAUUAUUGUACUCAUGAUGCAAUCCAUGAAAGACUAGUUGUUAAUUUCCUUCAUGGUGAAGGAUUUGAGUAAAGCCUAUUAUAUCCUUGGGAUCAAGAUCUAUUAAGUUUGAGCUAAUAGAUUGUUAGGCUAUCAAAAUCCACUUACAUAGACAAGGUGCUAAGGCGAUACUCCAUGAAGAAGUUCGAAAGGACAUCUACCGAUGGAAUAUGUCAUCUAUUUGUCAAGAAAGGAUUGUCCUUCUAAUGACAAUGUGAUUUAAUGCACAAAGAAUGAUCCUAACACUAGGGCAAUAGGAUAGUCAUGAAUGUCAUGAUUUUCAUUACACAGGGUGUAGUGUAUGUGCUUAGCAUCGUUGGCAGAUUUUAAGAGAUAUUAGAAACAAGAGAUUAUGUUAAAGCAUGUUCCCACAUAAGAGGACAUUGCUAAUCCUUUUGACCAAUUGUUAUGCAUUGUGAAUCAUAACAAACACUUUGAGUGUUUGGGAAUUGGAUAUCUUCGAGACUGGCUUUAGUCAGUGGGAGUAAAAGUAAUAUGUCUAGAAAUAAUCUGUGUUGAGACUUAUUACUUGAUCACAUUUAUGACAUUUGACGUCACUAAUGGCAUUAUGCAUUUAUUUGAUUGAUUACUUUGAUUAUUUGUUUUCAUUCAAUUAAAUGUUCCCAUGAGUUAAUACUGUUGCUAAUUUAGUGGGAGGUUAGCAAUAGAGUAUAGCUCUUAAAGCGCCCCAACUAAGGAUCAUCAAGAUUGGGAUAUUGAUGAUAUGUUAUAAGUUGGCAUGCGAUCUGUAUCACAUUCUUAGAGAAUAUAGUUGUUCCCACGACUAUGAGAUAUUAGAUACUCGUGAUAGAUGCAUGGAUACUUUAGAGAGUAUUGGCAUACCCAACCAAUAUAUCAUUUGUUUUGGUGUCUAUGAUUAUUGGUGUGUGGAGAUUGUGACAGUCCUUUGACUUGAGGGCAAUGCUUAUCUUACUUAUUGAAUGGUAUACUUUGACCAAGAACAAUGCUUGCACUCCAACCAAAGGGGUAGAUACGGCUUGUGUUGGGUAUAUCGGGAUAUAAGGGAAGGUGGUAGUUGUGCCAAGAUGGGAUUCAUUCCUCGAUUAACAUUUCGAGAAGAACAUUCAGUUUCUCUAUAUUACUUGACCAUUAAGUCACUGGCCAGUGCAGUUGAUAUGUUCGAACUUUAAAAGUUGAACAUGAUCGAUGGAGGUCAUUUAAUAAAAAUGAGAUAAAUUGAUAGAGCUAUUGGAAAGACACAAUGGCAAAUUCUAGGCUCUAUCGAGUGGUUCGUGAAUGAAAGGAUGUUACUAGAUCUUCGCAUAAAGGUUUUGUUUACAGAAUCCACGUAAACGUUCUUCAUAUAUCGAGUUCGCUACACAACGCAGUCUAGGAGUUUUGUGUAGACUUUAAUUUGAUUAUCGACGAUAAUGGAGGCCUAAAGGGUCACACUUUAUGUGUAUUGUUGAUUCGCUUAAGAGUGCAAAGUUAGUGCUUGGUGUUUAAUCUAAUGCUAGUCCAAGUGGGAGAUUGAAAGAUAUUAUGGACUAUAUUAGGAGAUAAAAGAUUAAAAGAAAACUAAUAAGAAAGAUCAAGUGUGAAUUAAAUGUCCCAAAUAAUAACAUAAGUGGGUCUUUAUAUAAUUAUUUACAAAAAGAGGUUAUUUUUUGAAUUUUUAAGAAUUAAGUCGUGUCAAAUUUGGACAACAACGAAAGUUGGUGUAUUAAAAUGUAAAAUCAUAACUUCGCGUCAAAUAUGGAUUUUUGGCAAAGUUUGUGUAUUUUCACGCAAUUAUCCCUAAAAAAUACAAAGGUGAAAUUGAAUUGAUAUUUUUAAACUGCGUUUUAAUUGAAUCAAGUAAAAGUUAAUUUUUCAUCCCAACUCAGAAAACACAACCACCAGUAUAAUAACUAAAGCGAACGUAUUAAUAUCUUAUGUUGAUUUUAAUUAAACACGCACGCAUUUGGAGACCCUUUGGAUCAAUCAUUUCAUAUCCUUUCUUAGCAUAUGAAUAUUUUUUUACUGAGCAUAUCAUCAAUUCGUGCACAUACUUGUGGCAUGCUAAUAGCAUAAAAUGUUACAAUCACUUGAAUAAGCAUGUUAGUCUGAAAUUUGAAUUCUGGAUGGUCGAAAAUUUUAAUAUAUUAAAUAAUAUUUCUAUUCAUAUAUUUAUAAAAUUUAUUAAUUUAUUUAUUAUUCUUAUUUUUGAUGAAAAAUGAAUUUCUUGAUAAAACCUUUAUAUAGAUAUAUAUGCACGUUCAAUUCAUCCAUUAAACUGGCACAAUAUAUUAUAGCCGACCAUGAGGUGGGAAGGGUCCACGAAUGAUUGUUCCAGGGGAUUACAUAUUAUAUAUCACAAAUAAAGGAAAAGAAAAAAUAGUUUAUAUUUAAACCCACCAUCUGGACUAAUGAAUAACGAUUAAUUUUUAAAUUCGGGGUAUUAUCCAUCGCUGUCACCUUAUAACUAAUACGCUUGUGAUAAUGAAGAAUCAAAGCUUUUCUCCUUGGAAAUUUAGUAUGAGCAAUAGAAUAGACAAAUAAAAAAUAAUAUAAAUUAAUUUAUUAUUAAUUUUAAUUUUAUUUGAUCCUUUCGCAUCUAGCAAAACAAUUCCUCCAAAAAAUUAUACGAAGGGUAAAAUAGAGCUUUUGGUGAUGGAGAAUUGGAGAUCGUAUUUUUUUAAGAAACAAAAGCAACAACAAUGAGAAAUGAAUUGCAAAAACUUGCAAUAAAAACAAUUCUCAUAGCACACCGCCCACAAACAAGCCGAGGGUGACACUAGGACUCGGGGGUCGGUUUUGGUUGUUAUUUUACAUUAUUACUAGAACGAUCUCCCGUGCGAUGCACGGCGAGUAUCGAAAUUAAACGACAUUAAUUACUCAAUAAAAUUUUGGAUUUGAAAACGUAAAUUUUCAACUUUGUAUAAAGUGUAAUGACAAUUAUAGUUAUUAAAUAAUUAAUAAUCAUUUGAUAAUGAAAAUUAGCAUUAUAUUUUAUUAUAAUUAUAAAGUAGGAUGCAUCAUAAUAAAUAAAUAAUUCACAAAUAUAAAAAAAUAAUUUGAAAUUAUAUUUUUUUAAUAUAUAUACUAAUUUCAUCUACAAAGUUAAAUUAACAUUAAUACAAAAAAAAUAUUUUAAAAAAAGAGUUAUAAAAUGAACCAAUAUAUAUUCCUUCACCUCUAUUACAUUUAAACUAUUAUAAUUAAAAAUAUAUAUGUAAACACAAACACAUGAUAUUUACUUAUUUUUAUCUAAAAAUACAAAAAAAAUAAAUUAAUAUAAUAGAAAAAAGUAAACAUGUCAUUAAAGAGAAAAUUAACACUCAUUAAAGUAGAGAGGAAAGAACAAAAUACUAAUAUUUUAAAACUUUAAAUUAUCAUAACUUAUUCAUUCUAAAUUAAUUUUUUUUUAUCAAAAGAUGAAAGAUAAGAGAUAAAUUUUGUAGUAAAGAGAGAGAGAGAGAAAAAAAAUAUAAUAACAACAAUUAUUAAAUUACAAUAAAACAAUUUCGAUAUAAUAUUAAUAACAACAAUAAUAAUAGUGCAAAAAAAGGAAGAGAUAAAAAUAUAAAAGAAUAGAGAAAAAGAAAUAGGAGAGAGAAAAAUAAUUACCAUAAAUUUUUUAAUUACAAUAACUUAUUUGUUUUAAAUUCAUAUUUUAUGAUUUUUAUACCAAAUUAAAGAUCUUGUCAUUAUCUUUAAUUUAAGAUACAUAUAGAAUAUCUUUCUAUAAAUCAAUUUUUUUUUUAAAUCACUAAAGUAUGAAAGAGAGAGUAGAAGAGAGAGAAAUUGUAUGAAAAAAAAAAUAGUGAAAAAAACGUGUGAUAGAGAGAGGAGAGAGAAAAUGUGAAAAAAUGCAUAGUGAAAGAAAAAAGAAAAAUUGGUGGGAACAAAAAAACUGAUGUUUCAUAUAUAUAUAUAUAGAUAUAUAGAUAUAUAGAGAUAAAUAAAUUCUUUUCAUACUCAAAAUAUAUAAUCAAAUAAUUUAUAGUACUUAAUAUAUACACAUAAUAAUAUUUAUUUUACAAUUUCAUGUGUUGAAAAUUAUUAUUUUCAAAAUAAUUUCAAAUAAGUUUAAUAAAAUGCUUCAAUUUCUUCUACUUAAUUAAGACCCACUCUUUCAUCAAAACUUGCGUACUGUUUUGUUCACCCUUUAUUCACUAUGACUCAAAUUAAAAAAUCAAUUUAGGGGUCUAAAUUACAUAGAGAUUUACAUAAAAGCCAAAGCCCAAAUCCUAUCUUAAAACUUCAGAUCUCUCUCUCUCCUAUCUCGCCUCUCACUUCUCCCAUGCCCAAAUACCAAGAGAAGCACCACAAUAUUCAGCCUCGCAGCCUUCAAUAUCGCCGCAGGGCUCGCAGCACUCAACUUCUUAUAUUCUGCUUCAGCUCUACCUGACCCACGCCUUUCUCGCGCUUCCGAUCGCCGAUCGUCUCGUCCGUGUGUGUCAUUUCCUCCUUUCUCCCUCGAUCCCUCCGCCGCCUCACUACUUUUCUCGCUAGAUCUCGUUUCUUCUCUGCUCUGAUCUACCGGCUUUUUGGGAGAAUCUUUCAGAGCACUACUCUCCCUCACUUCUCCGCUGUGACGUGACUCCCUUUCCCCUAUACUCUCCCUUCCCUCUAUUCUCUUCUUCUUUCACCCUAAACCCUUUGAUGAGCGACUGAAGAAUGGCGACUGAAUCUGCCAUAAUUGAUGAGCGAACGAAAUCAGAGCGGUGUUACAGGACAUGAGCAAGCCGAGGCCAUGGUGGAAUCAGAGAAAGAUGAGAAAAGGGUUGAUGAAAAGGGUUUCUAUUGGGGAAUUUUUCGAUUUUGAAAUUUGUUAAUGUGAUUGGGGUAGAUAACAGAAAUUUGUUGAUUUGUAUACGAAGAGCAAAAGUUUUAUAAUGGCCAAAUUGUGAGGAUAGUAGGAGAGAGAUAAUAUGAUUAAACUGAAACAACGUGGGAGAGAGAAAAAAUAGCGGUAAAAAAUUACCGUUGAACUGAUCUUUUAUGUAAUAUAUAGAUUUAAUUCCAAUAAAAAUUCUACGCAAAUUAUAAGCACAAAGCUUUUUUUU